AGGCGUUCAAUCAUGUUAUCCAGGACCAGAUUUCAUUCAGCCUGUAAUCUCUGCCAUGCAUAGCAGAUAAAUAAGGCUGAAGAGACACCAGCAUUUGGUUGAAGAUGGGGAUCAAUUUGGACAUGGCAUCUGCGAGGCACAAAAACUGACCACAAGAUGAAGUAAGACCCAUUAUCCCCAAACUGACUCCAAAUUCUCUGGAAGGUCCAAUAACUUAAGGAAACCUGAGAAGAGGAAUGGAAUUUAUAACAGAACACGGGAAGGUGGGACAAGAUUAUUUCUGAAGGAACGUCCAUCGCAUGAGAGCAUUUUUAAGGAAAAGAAAUAUUUGAGUUCAUCACUAAAUUCCCCGUUUCGAAAAUGAGAUUCUGAGAGAGAGAGAGUACA